GCUGCCUCUGAAUCUGUUGAAUGGUUUGAAGCCUCCCCUGCAUUUUGUUCCCGAGACUGAGGAACAGAGUCGUCUGAGAUGGUGGAGAUCUCAGACAACCCGACUGAAGAGCACAGCCCUUGUGCUUCCUCCCGGGCUCCACCCCCAGGACCCCAAGCAAGGUUCUUGCUGCUUCACCUUGCACUUUUAUCUUCUGGAGAUGGCUUCCUUUCCAAAUCUUUUCUAAAAUGUUAGAAUUCAGACCACAGUUCCUGAGCUUUGGAUGCAAACUCCUUGGCCCUGAAUCCCUGGAAGCCCUCCCCUGUGGAUGGUAUCAGCCAUCACAGCAGGAUGUGCUUUAAGAAUCCAAAUGAAUUCAGUUAUACCACGUGGUGGGACUUUUAAACUUGAGCUGAGCUUACUCAUUUCUGGUCGGCUAUUAAUCCUAUAGCUAAAUCAUGUACGUAAAGGAAGGGGAAAAAAAUCCAACCUGGGUAACCACACAACAAACACUAAAUAAAACCAAGGUAAUGUAUGGGGCAUCUCUGUGCUGCUUAGUAAAACUUGAAGUUUCUUAAUGUCGCGAAGUAACAGAAAUUACUUGGGGGAAUUUCAGGUGUUUUUGGUAAACUCUUUGGGGAAGUAAACAGUCAGUGAACUUUCGGAAUGCUGGGACUUUUGCCUGCAGCAAAACAAAGCUAAGACAAGUGGAUUCCUUAAAAAAGACCACUGGCAGCAGAGGAGAAGCAGAGCUGGGAAGAGACAGGCUGGUGAGCUCAGGGGAUAAAUUCUACCCCCUCUGCCCAGCAGGACUGGCCUUAAGCAAAACUGAGCCAAGAGGGAGAUGCUUCCCCUCCACCCACCUCUGUGAGUGUCCCCGAUCGAUCGCGCUGUCCCAGCUGGGCUGACCUUGUAUUCACCUCCUGGUCUUGAGUGUCUGUACCUCUUGGUGGAGGCAUUUGGAAGUGCACACACCUUGUCCACUACCUCAAACUGUGUCCUGAUGUUUCAGAACGUUCACUUUCUUAUCAGAGGAUGCCUGAAGAAAGUGCCAGUGUUGGGGACAGCCCACUGUUGGUGGAGCUGUGACCGCAG
rnacentral:lncRNA from 1 species